GACGUAGGGCGCGAGCGUUGUCCGGAUUUAUUGGGCGUAAAGAGCUCGUAGGCGGCUUGUCGCGUCGACUGUGAAAACCCGCGGCUCAACUGCGGGCCUGCAGCCGAUACGGGCAGGCUAGAGUUCGGUAGGGGAGACUGGAAUUCCUGGUGUAGCGGUGAAAUGCGCAGAUAUCAGGAGGAACACCGGUGGCGAAGGCGGCAUCCUGGACCGACAUUGACGCUGAGGAGCGAAAGCUAGGGGAGCAAACGGG
rnacentral:rRNA from 1 species